rnacentral:rRNA from 1 species
ACGGGAGGCAGCAGUGAGGAAUAUUGGUCAAUGGGCGGAAGCCUGAACCAGCCAAGUCGCGUGAAGGAUGAAGGUAUUAUGUAUUGUAAACUUCUUUAGCAGUGGAGUAAUAAGGGGAUCGUGAUCCCUGAUGCAAGUACACUGAAAAUAAGGAUCGGCUAACUCCGUGCCAGCAGCCGCGGUAAUACGGAGGAUCCGAGCGUUAUCCGGAUUUAUUGGGUUUAAAGGGUGCGCAGGCGGCUUUUUAAGUCAGCGGUAAAAUCGUGGGGCUCAACCCCAUCCUGCCGUUGAUACUGGAGAGCUUGAUUGCGGUUGAGGUUGGCGGAAUUCGUCGUGUAGCGGUGAAAUGCAUAGAUAUGACGAAGAACUCCGAUUGCGUAGGCAGCUGACCAAGCCGAAAAUGACGCUCAUGCACGAAAGUGCGGGGAUCGAACAGGACUAGAUACCCUGGUA